rnacentral:rRNA from 1 species
GAUGAACGCUGGCGGCGUGCUUAACACAUGCAAGCCGAACGAAGCAUUUGCGACAGAUUUUUUCGGAAUGAAGUUGCUUAUGACUGAGUGGCGGACGGGUGAGUAACGCGUGGGUAACCUGCCUUGUACUGGGGGAUAGCAGCUGGAAACGGCUGGUAAUACCGCAUAAGCGCACAAUGUUGCAUGACAUGGUGUGAAAAACUCCGGUGGUAUAAGAUGGACCCGCGUCUGAUUAGCUAGUUGGUGAGAUAACAGCCCACCAAGGCGACGAUCAGUAGCCGACCUGAGAGGGUGACCGGCCACAUUGGGACUGAGACACGGCCCAGACUCCUACGGGAGGCAGCAGUGGGGAAUAUUGCACAAUGGAGGAAACUCUGAUGCAGCGACGCCGCGUGAGUGAAGAAGUAAUUCGUUAUGUAAAGCUCUAUAAGAAGGGAAGAUAGUGACGGUACCUGACGAAGAAGCUCCGGCUAAAUACGUG